rnacentral:rRNA from 1 species
UUAAACUACCUGUCAUUUGAGAACAAAGUGGCCGAACGUAACUGCUUCGGCCUUGAUAGUAUCAGAAGAGGAAGGGACGGCUAACUCUGUGC